rnacentral:rRNA from 1 species
CCUACGGGAGGCAGCAGUGGGGAAUUUUGGACAAUGGGCGCAAGCCUGAUCCAGCAAUGCCGCGUGAGUGAAGAAGGCCUUCGGGUUGUAAAGCUCUUUUGUCAGGGAAGAAACGGUCUACUCUAAUACAGUGGGCUAAUGACGGUACCUGAAGAAUAAGCACCGGCUAACUACGUGCCAGCAGCCGCGGUAAUACGUAGGGUGCAAGCGUUAAUCGGAAUUACUGGGCGUAAAGCGUGCGCAGGCGGUUAUAUAAGUCAGAUGUGAAAUCCCCGGGCUCAACCUGGGAACUGCAUUUGAGACUGUAUGGCUAGAGUGUGUCAGAGGGGGGUAGAAUUCCACGUGUAGCAGUGAAAUGCGUAGAUAUGUGGAGGAAUACCGAUGGCGAAGGCAGCCCCCUGGGAUAACACUGACGCUCAUGCACGAAAGCGUGGGGAGCAAACAGGAUUAGAUACCCUGGUAGUCCACGCCCUAAACGAUGUCUACUAGUUGUCGGGACUUAAUUGUCUUGGUAACGCAGCUAACGCGUGAAGUAGACCGCCUGGGGAUACGGUGCAAGNUUAAAACUUAAAGGAAUUGACGGCUGNGAGNGCGAGACGACGACGAGGAGGAGG